rnacentral:rRNA from 1 species
CAAUAGGGAAUCUUCCACAAUGGGCGAAAGCCUGAUGGAGCAACGCCGCGUGUGUGAUGAAGGGUUUCGGCUCGUAAAACACUGUUGUAAGAGAAGAAUGACAUUGAGAGUAACUGUUCAAUGUGUGACGGUAUCUUACCAGAAAGGAACGGCUAAAUACGUGCCAG